GACGAACGCUGGCGGCGUGCUUAACACAUGCAAGUCGAACGGAAAGGCCCUGCUUUUGUGGGGUGCUCGAGUGGCGAACGGGUGAGUAACACGUGGGUAACCUGCCCUUGACUUUGGGAUAACUUCAGGAAACUGGAGCUAAUACCGGAUAGGAGCUCCUGCUGCAUGGUGGGGGUUGGAAAGUUUCGGCGGUUGGGGAUGGACUCGCGGCUUAUCAGCUUGUUGGUGGGGUAGUGGCUUACCAAGGCUUUGACGGGUAGCCGGCCUGAGAGGGUGACCGGCCACAUUGGGACUGAGAUACGGCCCAGACUCCUACGGGAGGCAGCAGUGGGGAAUAUUGCACAAUGGGCGGAAGCCUGAUGCAGCAACGCCGCGUGCGGGAUGACGGCCUUCGGGUUGUAAACCGCUUUCGCCUGUGACGAAGCGUGAGUGACGGUAAUGGGUAAAGAAGCACCGGCUAACUACGUG
rnacentral:rRNA from 1 species